CGGUGGCCAACUCAGCUCGUUUCUGCAGGCGCGUGCGUAUGCAGAACAACAGACCACGCGCAAGCAAGUUGGAGGCCGAUGGUGUGGAAGCAAAAUGGGAGCGGCGGCCUUGCGAAUGGGUGCGCAAGUAUGCCGACAGUACACGCACCGGAGCAGUCAGGUCAAGGAGGGUUUCUUCUUGCGUGGGAAGAGGAAGUUCAACCGUGAG
rnacentral:lncRNA from 1 species